rnacentral:rRNA from 1 species
AACGAACGCUGGCGGCAGGCUUAACACAUGCAAGUCGAACGCCCCGCCAGGGGAGUGGCGGACGGGUGAGUAACGCGUGGGAACAUACCCUUUUCUACGGCAUAGCCUUGGGUUACUGGAAUUAAUACCGUAUACGCCCUACGGUGGAAAGACUUACCGGGGAAGGAUUGGACCGCGUGGGAUUCGCUCGUUGGUGGGGUAAAGGCCUACCAAGGCGACGAUCCAUAGCUUGUCUGAGAGGCUGACCAGACACAUUGGGCCUGAGAGACGGCCCAGACUCCUACGGGAGGCAGCAGUGGGGAAUAUUGGCCAAUCGGCUCAAGCCUGAUGCAGCCAUGCCGCGUGAGUGAUGAAGUCCGUAGGGAAGUAAAGCUCUUUCACCGAUGAAGAUAAUGACGGUAGUCAGAGAAGAAGCCCCGGCUAACUUCGUG